rnacentral:misc_RNA from 1 species
GUGAAUCAUCGAAUUUUUGAACGCAAAUUGCACUCUCUUCGGAGAGUAUGCCUGUUUGAGGGUCAGCCUAAAAAAAAUCGACAUCGUUGCAGUAUCGCGGCGGCGUUCGUCGGAAAUUGGGUUAUCUUAAAUUUUUGGUUUAAGCGACUCAAAAUUUUUUUCAUGAUUUCAUGAAUGUGUC